AGGGGCUUGCGCCAUAUUAGUUAGUUGGUAGGGUAAUGGCCUACCAAGACGAUGAUGUGUAGCUGGACUGAGAGGUUGAACAGCCACAUUGGGACUGAGACACGGCCCAAACUCCUACGGGAGGCAGCAGUAGGGAAUUUUCGGCAAUGGAGGAAACUCUGACCGAGCAACGCCGCGUGAAUGACGAAGUACUUCGGUAUGUAAAGUUCUUUUAUCAAGGAAGAAAAGCAAAUGGCGAACCAUUUGUUUGCCGGUACUUGAUGUAAGCCCCGGCUAAUUAUGUGCCAGCAGCCGCGGUAAGACAUAAGGGGCAAGUGUUAUCCGGAAUUAUUGGGCGUAAAGGGUGCGUAGGCGGUCUAGUAAGUCAGUGGUGUAAUGGCAACGCUUAACGUUGUCCGGCUAUUGAAACUGCUAAACUUGAGUUAGAUAGAGGCGAGUGGAAUUCCAUGUGUAGCGGUAAAAUGCGUAAAUAUAUGGAGGAACACCAGAGGCGUAGGCGGCUCGCUGGGUCUUAACUGACGCUGAGGCACGAAAGCGUGGGGAGCAAACAGGAUUAGAUACCCUGGUAGUCCACGCCGUAAACGAUGAGUACUAAGUGUCGGGUUAAACCGGUACUGAAGUUAACACAUUAAGUACUCCGCCUGAGUAGUACGUACGCAAGUAUGAAACUUAAAGGAAUUGACGGGACUCCGCACAAGCGGUGGAUCAUGUUGUUUAAUUCGAAGAUACCCGAAAAACCUUACCAGGUCUUGACAUGUUUUUGCAAAAUGAUAGUAAUAUCGUGGAGGUUACCAGAAACACAGGUGGUGCAUGGUUGUCGUCAGCUCGUGUCGUGAGAUGUUAGGUUAAGUCCUAAAACGAGCGAAACCCUUAUCGUUAGUUGCCAGCACGUUAUGGUGGGGACUUUAACGAGACUGCCAAUGAUAAAUUGGAGGAAGGUGAGGAUCACGUCAAAUCAGCAUGCCCCUUAUGACCUGGGCUACAAACGUGAUACAAUGGCUGUUACAAAGGGUAGCUGAAACGCAAGUUCUUGGCCAAUCCCCAAAAACAGUCCCAGUCCGGAUUGAAGUCUGCAAC
rnacentral:rRNA from 1 species